rnacentral:rRNA from 1 species
AUUAAUUUAAUGGCUGCAGUAUUUUAACUGUACAAAGGUAGCAUAAUAAUUAGUUCCUUAAUUAGGGACUGGAAUGAAGGAUUGAACGAGAUAAAAAUUGUCUCUUUUUAAGUUUUAUAAUUUUAUUUUUAAGUUAAAAAGCUUAAAUAAUAUUAAAAGACGAGAAGACCCUAUAGAGUUUUAUAAUUAUAAUAUAUUUAAAUUUUAGAAAUAAAAUUUUAUUUAUAUAAUAAUUAUUUGAUUGGGGUGAUUUUAAAAUUUAAAAAACUUUAAUAUUUUUUACAUUUAUAUAUGAUAAAUUGAUCCAUAAAUUAUGAUUAAAAGAUUAAAUUACCUUAGGGAUAACAGCGUAAUUUUUUUAAAGAGUUCUUAUCGAAAAAAAAGAUUGCGACCUCGAUGUUGGAUUAAAAUAAAUUUUUGGUGUAGAAGCUAAAAUAUUAGGUCUGUUCGACCUUUAAAAUUUUACAUGAUCUGAGUUUAAAUCGGCGUGAGCCAGGUUGGUUUCUAUCUUUAAUUUAGUAAAAUAUUUUAGUACGAAAGGACCAUAUAUUUAUAAAGUUUAUUAGUUUAUGAUUAAUAUUA